CCUACGGGUGGCAGCAGUAGGGAAUCUUCCACAAUGGGCGAAAGCCUGAUGCAGCAACGCCGCGUGGAUGAAGAAGGUCUUCGGAUCGUAAAACCCUGUUGUUAGAGAAGAAAGUGCGUGAGAGUAACUGUCCACGUUUCGACGGUAUCUAACCAGAAAGCCACGGCUAACUACGUGCCAGCAGCCGCGGUAAUACGGAGGUGGCAAGCGUUGUCCGGAUUGAUUGGGCGUAAAGGGAACGCAGGCGGUCUUUUAAGUCUUAUGUGAAAGCCUUCGGCUUAACCGGAGUAGUGCAUUGGAAACUGGGAGACUUGAGUGCAGAAGAGGAGAGUGGAACUCCAUGUGUAGCGGUGAAAUGCGUAGAUAUAUGGAAGAACACCAGUGGCGAAAGCGGCUCUCUGGUCUGUAACUGACGCUGAGGUUCGAAAGCGUGGGUAGCAAACAGGAUUAGAUACCCUUGUAGUC
rnacentral:rRNA from 1 species